AUUGAACGCUGGCGGCAGGCCUAACACAUGCAAGUCGAGCGGAUGAAGGGAGCUUGCUCCUGGCUUCAGCGGCGGACGGGUGAGUAAUUCCUAGGAAUCUGCCUGGUCGUGGGGGAUAACGUCCGGAAACGGGCGCUAAUACCGCAUACGUCCUGAUGGAGAAAGUGGGGGAUCUUCGGACCUCACGCUAUCAGAUGAGCCUAGGUCGGAUUAGCUAGUUGGUGGGGUAAAGGCCUACCAAGGCGACGAUCCGUAACUGGUCUGAGAGGAUGAUCAGUCACACUGGAACUGAGACACGGUCCAGACUCCUACGGGAGGCAGCAGUGGGGAAUAUUGGACAAUGGGCGAAAGCCUGAUCCAGCCAUGCCGCGUGUGUGAAGAAGGUCUUCGGAUUGUAAAGCACUUUAAGUUGGGAGGAAGGGCAGUAAGUUAAUACCUUGCUGUUUUGACGUUACCAACAGAAUAAGCACCGGCUAACUUCGUG
rnacentral:rRNA from 1 species